UGUAACUCCAUUGGGUGUGAUUCAGAUUGACCAAGAUCAUCUAUCAUUUCGCUGGACUUCUUCACAGCCCCUCUGCUUCCUAGCUGAGUAAUUUAUGUAACAUUAUUCCACAUGGGAAAGCCCAGCUGUUAAAGUUUUAGAAUCGGGAAUAAGAACAGAUUUUUAUUAGAUCUUUCAUCUUGUCUACAGUGUGUUUUUCUUGGUUUAAAUAAUGAUAACAGCAUGCUAGCACCUCUGCCAUAACUCACUCUCCUGUACGUGUCUUUGGAGGGGAGAAUGCCCUUGUACUUCUGGGGUUCCAGAAUGAGGCUUAUAUAAAACUGAAUCUGAAAUCAAUGUGUGGGAUGGUAUAGUCACCUGGUGAGUUUGAACUCAUAUGCCUGGGGUAGGCACUGCAGAAGUAAAAAUGAUAGAACUAAACUACAGAUUGGUGGGAGCAAGGGAGGGAUAUGAGAGAGAGAAAAAAAAAGUUUAGGGGGUUAGAAAGUUUCUUUCAUAGAAGGAAAUUUGUCCUGUUUACAAAAAUAAGGAAACCCAGACAGAAGCAGAUUUAGAAAGGAUAAACAGUUUUGUUUGGCAUGUUUUUGACUUGCUGGGAGGCGAUCCAAGUGGGUCUUUAAGAGGAUGUGAUGCCCUUGUAAUGUGUCAGCUUGGUUAGGCCGUCCUACAUUUCCCAGAACUCCAUUUCCUCUAAGGUUUGGUUAGAGUGGGCCACAGGAGAGUCUCAUGUGAAAUUUGAGGGCAGAGGUGCAGCAACCACCGUUUUGUUAGCUCACACAUGUUGACCCAGGUGUGCUACUUUUUAGCAUGAGGCAAUGGCUGGGCCUAUAACUAUUCCACUUUCUCCUUCAGUUUCUCUAACCCUUGGCCAGAUGUGUGUUUAGCUCCAAGGUGAAGGACGCUGGCUUCUCUCUGCAGGACGUCCACAGCACCAAGAUCAGAGCAAUAAUAACUGAUGGGUUUCAGUCCAUCGUGAAGCUUCUAGCCUUUCCUUCCUAAUUACCUGCCCUGUGGAUUUCAGUUCUAAUACGAGAUCCAAGAACAGCCUGAUAGACACUAUACCUGCUCCAAUUUUGCAAGCAGGUAUUGACUCAUCCUUUGCACAAGUCUGCCAGUCUUCUCUAUGGCUCAAAGCACUGCAUAAUUUGGCUCAUUUUCCUAUCCAACUUAUACCAUUCUUUGUCUCAUUUAGUUCAUGCUAGUUUCCUAUCAACUUGUCCACUUCAAGUCCCAAGCUCUUUCCCAUCUCUGGGUCCUCAAGUAUGCUGUUCUUUCUGCCUCCUGCCUCAUGCUCUUUUCGUCUGCAGGUCUUAGCCUAACCCAUCAACUUUAUGGACUGGCCAUCUCUGACCACUCCAUCUAAAAUCAUCCUUUGUUUGGUGUCUUCAAGGUCCUUACUAGAGGUUGUGUAACCUAUCUAAUUAUUUUGGUUAGUUGGUCUUCAUUAGAAUCGAGGUUCUGUGACAGGAGGAGCUCUUGUUCCACAUUGUAUACACUGAUGCUGGCACUGUGUCUGGCACACAGCCAGUUCUCAAAGGAUUCUUCUAGAAAUAGAAAGGUAGAUGUGGAGGAACCUACUUUGUGGGACAGCCAUGUCAGAGGGAUUAACUUUCCAUUCCUUGGAGGCAUAAAGAUUAUCCUGAAUUCUACCCUUAUUUCUGUUAUUCAUGGCAAGUCAAAUAAUUGCCUAGGGAUUCAGGAACCAUCUCAAUAGUUUUCUAUGUCCAAUUGCUGUCUUAACAGAUUCAAUUACACCUCUUUGAAAGGAUGCUUGUGAUGGUAAUACUUAAAAAUAAAAACAACUAGGAUUGGAGUUGCCAGUAGUAUGAAUGCAGUUUUAAGUUAUGGGUUUUAAGUUCUGUUACUGUAUGUUAUUUUGGCUUUGAUUCACUUAGAGCUCAAAACAGUGACCCAUUAAUAAAGAUCUGAAUGAGGUUUAGAUUACAUACUCAUAAAACUAACUUUUCUGAAAACUCAUCUAACUUUAUUACCCUAUAGUUUGUGUUCUACAGCUCUCUUAAUUUCAUACUGUAAACUUCUUAAACAUAUUUUAUAAGUCAAAGUACUCUCAUCACUUUCCAAGAUUUAAUAGAGGUUCCUCCAUUUGUGAAUAACAUUAGCUAAAAAGCAAGCAAAGAAUAAACAAUACUUUUAUUAAAUAGAAUCAAAAGGAAAAUCCUAUCUUGUUUUUCUAAGGCCCUAAUGAAAUGUUAUUGAAAGAGUGUUCUAUCUUCCUUUCAGUCUCCAAGAUCAAAUCUUUUGGUGUUACCCUGAGUCUGCAGAUCAUUUUUCUUUAAAACUUCUCUACUGCAAAUAUUCCCUUUGAUGCCAGCCUUCUUGAAAUCCUUCAUGCCUUAAAUGUGCCCUUACUUCUUUUUAAGCAGUCUAAUACCUUUGCACAUUACUUUUCCAGCAUCUGGCCUACACAUACUACGUGAUCAAAAGUGUUGAAGUGGCUCAUAAAUUAGACGUUUUUGGCAAUUUGGGUACAAACCUUCAAUCACGACACAUUUGCUCCCAGGUUACUUCCCUUGCCAAAUAAAGCUCAAACAGUAGUGGUGUCUGGGUAUUUUGAAACUCCUGAGUGUUCUCAUCCUCCACAAAGUGUGUGUGAAGUGACAUACCCUAUUUCCAAUAUUUAUGUUUUUUUUUUUUCUUCCAGCAAAUCUGUUAUGGUUCAGGAUAUUAAUGCAAACCUGCCGAAUAGAAAACAGAUUUUGCUUUCCUACUGUGUUAAACCAAUGGUCUCAAGCAAAGCCAUUUUGAAUUCUUUUGAUCUAAGUUAGAAAUCAGAAACUUAGUAAUUUUUCUCUAUAGUCUCACAUCAACUGGUAGUUACAAUGGAGCAGUGAGGGAGGUUUAUAAUAUAUACUGAGGAUACAACUAAGAUACUGUUUUUCUAUUCGUAUAUGAAGUAUUUUUUGAAUUCAAAACUCAACUAAAAAUAUAGUUGUUGCAAUUCACUUGGUUAAGUCAAUUAUUUCUGGUAAUAGGUCUAACAAAGGUUUGUCUGUGUUAACGGUGCUGGGAAGAUAACAGUAGAAAGACCAUGCUAACCAAAGCAAGGUACACAGUACUUUUUUUUCAUAUUUCUCAAUAAAUGGUAUAAAUUGGCUAAAUAAUCUCACUCUGAUGGACACUGCUCACAGAUUUUGAUAGCUACUUGCCAGAAGGCUUGGGCAUCCGAAGGCUUUCUGUUGAGGACAAGUUGAAAGUCACUGUCAAUAAUUAAUUGUCACUUUCACUCAGAAUCAGAUUUCCACCAACUCUGGAGGGAAUUCAUGACUUCACAUCUAAAGCAAGUCAUUAGACUCUUGAAGGCUCACUCAAAGAAAUAGCAAUAUAACAGACUGAACAGCUUUAAGAUGCAAAACAGUAUAAAAAUAAAACUUCCCCGAACCAACCUUAACCAGCCAUGAAUUAAAAUGCAGGUAAAAUAGAAACAUUUCUCUAUUCCCAUCUUACUCAAAAUAUGGCAGUUUCAAUACUCUAACCAACCCCUAAACAACCUUUCACUCAUCUGACAAUAAGACAAGACUAAGAGGCUCUUGCAAGUUCAUUUUGAUUUUUAUUACAUACCACAGACAUAUGCAUUAACCAGAGAGUAGGAUGAUUUUUUGUACUCUCAAAACCACAGGAAAUAUAUUUCCACCUACCCUCUUUUUUCUGAUAUUGGAGUGGCAUUUCAGAUUACCAUUUUGGGACUGGUUGAGGGCAAAGUAAAAGAAACUGUGGAAGGCAAUGUAUAGAUUACAUAAUCAUGAAGCUAUUUUUGGAAGCUAGUCGUAACUUGCUGAUUGAGAAUAACAGGGCUGUGCAGUACUCACAGUGCUGAUAUUACACAGGUAC